rnacentral:tRNA from 1 species
GAUCAUAUAGUUUAACAAAAAUAUUAGAUUGCAAAUCUUGAGAUGAAAUUUUCUAUGAUCU